GACAGAGGCCUCGAGCGUUAGGCGGAAUCACUGGGCUUAAAGCGUGUGUAGGCGGAUCGUUAAGUGUCUUGUGAAAUCCCACGGCUCAACCGUGGAACGGCUGGCAUACUGGCGAUCUUGAGCAGCCUAGGGGCGACCGGAACAAACGGUGGAGCGGAUGAAUGCGUAGAUAUCGUUGAACGCCGAUGGUGAAACAGGUCGCUGGGGCUCGCUGACGCUGAGACACGAAAGCCAGGGGAGCAAACGGG
rnacentral:rRNA from 1 species